rnacentral:rRNA from 1 species
GCCCGAAGCCGAUUAUCUAACCUUUUGGAAGAAGUCGUCGACGGUGGAAUCAAUAACUGGGGUGAAGUCGUAACAAGGUAGCCGUAUCGGAAGGUGCGGCUGGAUCACCUCCUUUCUAAGGAGA